UCGCUGAUAAAAGCAAUCAGAUCGUAAAGAUAUAUUGCUUGGCAGCUCAUGUCGUUCCCAUGGAACCUCGAACCGUUUGCGUUUCUUGGCCUUGUGAUCCUAAUAUGAACCGCCGGCAAUAGCUUUACUUUUCACAUAGUUCACACACAUAACCAACUGAAUGGACAUAGAUAAACCCCCUUUUCUCUUCAAAAUGAAGACGUUUGCAAACUUGAAGCCACGAGAAUAGCUUCCAAACGAUCAAAGAUCGGAUUACCACCUGCUAUACACCACUGAUUAAUUCCCAUCCAUCAAUGUCACAUGAUAUUCUAACCAUGAACUGCACACAGUACCUGGUCUUCGCACCUGUGGCGUUGCAAACUGCAUACAGGGUGGUCACCAAGGGGUGGGGGGACAUGAACCUAGCCUACGCCGCCAUCUUGCCAGCUCUGC
rnacentral:lncRNA from 1 species